AGAUUAAGCCAUGCAUGUCUCAGUGCAAGCCGUCCUGUACGGUGGAACCGCGAAAGGCUCAUUAAAUCAGUUAUGGUUCCUUAGAUAAUACCCACGUUACUUGGAUAACUGUGGUAAUUCUAGAGCUAAUACAUGCCGACAGAGUUCCGACCCAGCGCGCGGCGCGGCGGCGUUUGCGCGUCGCUCGUCGUGUGUUCGGAAGGAACGCUUUUAUUAGAUCAAAACCGGCCAGACGGCCGUGUUCCGCCGUGCUUCGGCAUGCGGACACCCGGCCGUUAGGGGCCCGCGCAAAGACUUGACGACUCUGAAUAACUUCGAGCUGAUCGCACGGUCUCGCACCGGCGACGUAUCUUUCAAAUGUCUGCCUUAUCAACUUUCGACGGUAAAUUCGACGCUUACCGUGGUGGUUACGGGUAACGGGGAAUCAGGGUUCGAUUCCGGAGAGGGAGCCUGAGAAACGGCUACCACAUCUAAGGAAGGCAGCAGGCGCGCAAAUUACCCACUUCCGGUUCGGGGAGGUAGUGACGAAAAAUAACGAUACGGGACUCAUCCGAGGCCCCGUAAUCGGAAUGAGUACACUUUAAAACCUUGGUCACACGAGGAUCAAU
rnacentral:rRNA from 1 species